rnacentral:rRNA from 1 species
UGGGGAAUAUUGCACAAUGGGCGCAAGCCUGAUGCAGCCAUGCCGCGUGUAUGAAGAAGGCCUUCGGGUUGUAAAGUACUUUCAGCGGGGAGGAAGGUGUUGAGGCUAAUAACCUCAGCAAUUGACGUUACCCGCAGAAGAAGCACCGGCUAACUCCGUGCCAGCAGCCGCGGUAAUACGGAGGGUGCAAGCGUUAAUCGGAAUUACUGGGCGUAAAGCGCACGCAGGCGGUCUGUCAAGUCGGAUGUGAAAUCCCCGGGCUCAACCUGGGAACUGCAUUCGAAACUGGCAGGCUAGAGUCUUGUAGAGGGGGGUAGAAUUCCAGGUGUAGCGGUGAAAUGCGUAGAGAUCUGGAGGAAUACCGGUGGCGAAGGCGGCCCCCUGGACAAAGACUGACGCUCAGGUGCGAAAGCGUGGGGAGCAACCA